UUAACUAUUAUAUAGUACUCAGACAUCACUAAAAACAAGAGUUGUGGUCCUCUGGCAGGCACUCAACAGCCGAGGCCGCUGGAAAUGGGGCCUGCCAAAGCAACAGAGGUAUGUUAUUCAAGGGUGGAGAUCUACCCGUGAGGGCAUGAUACUCUGUAAUGAUCCUUCCGCAGGUUCACCUACGGAAA
rnacentral:misc_RNA from 1 species